AGAGUUUUAGUGUGCGGCGCUACAUUUCCCUGUACAUUGGUCACGCCAUAUAAAGUGCGCUCCACGGGUAUCACCGUGUACAGUGAUCAUCUAGUCCCUGACGAUGGACAAGCUGGUUCUCUUCCUCGUCGUGGUGCUGGCCGUGGUCACGGUUACCCAGGGGUUCGUCAUUGACCCCCUGUUCGGCGGCUUCGGGCUCGGAGGAUUCGGAUUCGGCUCACCAUUCUUCGGCGGAGGACUGAUUGGCGGCGCCCCUCUGCUCCAUCACCACAUCGGAUCACCAGUCGUCCAGCCCCUCGUCAUUCAACUGCCCUAGAGCCUGCAAACGGCAGGGCGGCAGAAAACCAUGGUGCUCAUCCGUAAAUCACUUUGGUCUCAUUGGCCUGUGAUAACACCGACUCAAGAACAAGUCGUAGUGACGUAGACAGUAGAUAAUAAUCCGAUUUCUUCAUUCCGAUCUCCAGUGUUUCACUGCUAGACUACAGCUUUGUCUGAUGAAAGUGGACCGGUUGUGUUUUCAUGCCUAACUGUCAAAUUGUUUGGCGCAGUAUUAGUUCAAUAAAUGUAUUGACACCGUAUAGGUCUAUGGUCGUGGUAGACUCGAACUAUACAUACAAGAAUACCAC
rnacentral:lncRNA from 1 species